rnacentral:rRNA from 1 species
UACGUAGGGGUGCGAGCGUUAAUCGGAAUUACUGGGCGUAAAGGGUGCGUAGGCGGUCCUAUAAGUAUGGUGUGAAAUCUCCCGGCUUAACUGGGAGGGUGCGCUAUAGACUGUGGGACUAGAGUGUGGGAGAGGAAAGUGGAAUUCCUGGUGUAGCGGUGAAAUGCGUAGAUAUCAGGAGGAACACCGGUGGUGUAAACGGCUUUCUGGACCAUAAACUGACGCUGAGGCAACGAAAGCGUGGGUAGCAAACAGG